CCAGCGGGUAAUGCCGGGGACUCUAGCGAAACUGCCGGUGUAAACCGAGAGGAAGGUGGGAUGACGUCAAAUCAGCACGGCCCUUAUGUCCAGGGCUACACACGUGUUACAAUGGCCGGUACAGAGGGCAGCUACCUGGAGACAGGAUGCGAAUCUCGAAAGCCGGUCUCAGUUCGGAUCGGAGUCUGCAACUCGACUCCGUGAAGCUGGAUUCGCUAGUAAUCGCGCAUCAGCCAUGGCGCGGUGAAUACGUUCCCGGGCCUU
rnacentral:rRNA from 1 species